UACGAAGGGGGCUAGCGUUGCUCGGAAUUACUGGACGUAAAGGGCGCGUAGGCGGAUAGUUUAGUCAGAGGUGAAAGCCCAGGGCUCAACCCUGGAAUUGCCUUUGAUACUGGCUAUCUUGAGUUCGGGAGAGGUGAGUGGAACUCCGAGUGUAGAGGUGAAAUUCGUAGAUAUUCGGAAGAACACCAGUGGCGAAGGCGACUCACUGGCCCGAUACUGACGCUGAGGCGCGAAAGCGUGGGGAGCAAACAGG
rnacentral:rRNA from 1 species